rnacentral:misc_RNA from 1 species
GAUGAAGAACGCAGCGAAAUGCGAUAAGUAAUGUGAAUUGCAGAAUUCAGUGAAUCAUCGAAUCUUUGAACGCAUCUUGAGCUCCUUGGUAUUCUGAGGAGCAUGCCUGUUUGAGUGUCAUUAAAUUCUCAACUACACUGACUUUGAAUUGGUGUGGCUUGGAUUUGGGGGGAAAAUUGUUGUGGGCUUUUUGUAUAGUCUGCUCCCCUGAAAUUGAUUAGCGGUACCUUUGUGGAACUGUCUACAGGUGUGAUAAUUAUCUACAUCUUAGACAUCUGCUGGAAUGCUGCUUUCUAAACCUUACUUGUAUUGACAAUCUUGACCUCAAAUCAGGUAGGACUACCCGCUGAACUUAAGCAUAUCAAUAAGCGGAGGA